UUAAACUAAACUCUUGAAGUAAAUAAAUAAUCUUUGCUGGCAGGACUAUGCUGAAUCUCUUUAGGCACUCUCUAAUCAGAUGUCCUAGGUCCUCCCAAUUCUUAGACCUUUUAUACCUGUUUUUCUCCUUCUCUUAUUCCAUUUAGUUUUUCAAUUCAUACAAGACCGUAUCCAGGCCAUCACCAAUCAUUCUAUACGACAUAUGUUUCUCCUAACAACCCCACAAUAUCACCCCUUACCACAAGACCUCCCUUCAGCUUAAUCUCUCCCACUCUAGGUUCCCACACCACCCCUAA
rnacentral:lncRNA from 1 species